UUUAGUUAAUUAUAAACAAACCAAGAUAGUAAAAGCUAUGUUCUCCAAACCUAAAGGAUUUGGCGGUAAUUUAGUCCAGUUAGAGGAACCUGUUUGGUAAACGAUAAACCACGAAAAAUCUUACCUAUUUUAAAAGUUUGUAUACCGUCAUUAUUAGAUAACUUUUAGUGAAAAAGUUAUUUUAAUAAAUUUAUUCUUAGUAUAUUAGAUCAAGGUGCAGCCUAUAAAUAGGUCUUAAUGGGUUACAAUAAAACUUAUUUAUAACGAAUAUAGAAUAUAAAUAUUCUAUUAAAGGAGGAUUUAAUAGUAAAAACUGGUUUAAUAUGCCAUUUUGAUAAAGGAUCUAAAUUGAGUACAUAUCGCCCGUCGCUUUCAUUUACACAGAUGAAAUAAGUCGUAACAUAG
rnacentral:rRNA from 1 species